rnacentral:tRNA from 1 species
GCUGGUGUAGCUCAGUCGGUAGAGCAGCUGAUUUGUAAUCAGCCGGUCAGGAGUUCGAAUCCCCUCACUAGCUCCA